GUUGUGAACUUUCAAAGAUGUAAACAUGUGUUCCAUCAACGUCAGGUGAGAUUGAAAUUGCAGCUUGCACUACAUCUAUUGCUUAUGAUUCUUCAGCUCUACCAUCUUCCACCUCCUCUCCUUCCUCCAGUCAGUAACUCUUGCCUGUUCACUGGAUGCCAGCCCUUGUAUGACAGUUGUUGAGCUGUCAUACUGCACUUUUCAAGGAUCACCCCUUCUGUAUAAUUCUUUGAGGAAAAUAAGUUCUCAAGGAGGAAAACCUGAACCUAGCAAACAACCUCUUAAGAAGCCAAAGUUACCAGAAGGUCGUUUUGAUGCACCAGAAGAUUCCAGUUUAGAGAAGGAACCACUAACAAGUCCUCGAUGGGCUUCCUGGAAUAUUGGUGUGUUUAUUUGCAUCAGAUGUGCUGGCAUCCAUAGGAAUCUUGGGGUUCAUAUAUCCAGGGUCAAGUCAGUCAACCUAGACCAGUGGACACCAGAACAGAUCCAGUGCAUGCAAGAUAUGGGAAAUACUAAAGCAAGACUACUAUAUGAAGCCAAUCUUCCAGAGAACUUUCGAAGACCACAGACAGAUCAAGCAGUGGAAUUUUUCAUCAGAGAUAAAUACGAAAAGAAGAAAUACUACGAUAAAAAUGCUAUAGCUAUUACAAAUGUUGCCUCCUCUGAUGCUCCUCUUCAGCCUUUGGUAUCCUCUCCUUCUCUACAAGCUGCUGUUGAGAAAAACAAAUUGGAGCUGCAGAAGAAAGAAGAUCAGCAAUUGGAACCUAAAAAAAGUACCAGCCCUAAAAAAGCUGCAGAGCCCACUGUUGAUCUUUUAGGACUUGAUGGGCCUGCUGAGGUGCCGGUGACCAAUGGGAGCGCAGUCGUGGGGCCAGCCCUGAACGAUGACCUGGACAUCUUUGGACCGAUGAUCUCUAACCCAUUACCUGCAACUGUCAUGCCCCCGGCUCAGGGGCCGUCCUCUGCACCAGCAGCUGCCACUCUGUCUGCAGUGACGUCUGGGGACCUGGAUCUGUUCACUGAGCAAGCUGCAAAGUCAGAAGAGGUGGCCAAGAAGCAGCUCUCCAAAGACUCCAUCUUGUCUCUGUAUGGCACCGGGGCCAUCCAGCAGCAGGGUGCUCCUGGUGUGUUUAUGGGACCCACGAAUCUACCAUUUACCUCACAAGCACCGGCUGCAUUUCCAGGCUUCCCGUCCAUGGGCGUGCCUGUGCCCGCGGCUCCCGGCCUGGUGGGCAGCUCGCUGGGGCCGAGCGCGGGCAUGAUGGUGGGCAUGCCAGUGCCCAAUGGCUUCAUGGGCAGCGCACAGACUGCUGUGAUGCCGCUGGCGCAGGGCGUGGUCGGGCCCCCAGGGAUGGUCGCUCACUUGGGCGCAGCCCAGGGGAAGUUUGGCCUGCAGCCAGCUCCGCAGAGCCCAUGGAACCUCCCCCAGGUGAACCAGCAGAUGGCUGGCCUGAGCCUGGGUGGCGCAGCCUCAGCGGCGGGCUUCGGGCAGCCGCCCAGCACCUCAGCGGGGGCCGCGGGCUGGUCCGGGGGCUCGUCGGGGCAGACGCUCAGCACGCAGCUGUGGAAGUGACCGCCCCGCUGGCAUUCCUGCUCAGACACACCCAGUUCCCCUGUCCAUUCAUGUACAUACAUGUUUUUUUCUUUUCCCCCAUUUGUUCAUAUUAAGAGUUACCUGAUUGACCGUGUUGGUCUUUACUGAUUGAAUUUGCUGUGGUGAAAAGCAGGUUGAGAAACCGUUCCAUGUCGAGGGCAGCUUUGCUCACAAUUCCCAGGAUUUCGCAGACACAGUCUCUGGGAAGCUGCUCAGUCAACGUGCAUAAUCAGUUUCCCUCUCGAUGAAAUUAUAGCUCUCAUGUUUGCAUAUAAGGGAAGUAGUUAUCAUGUUAGUAAUACCUCUAACAGUAUGAGCCCCACCCCCAGAUUAGCCAGUAAUCCUGUAGGAAGGUACUGUAUGAUCAAAUGUUUAAUCAU
rnacentral:lncRNA from 1 species